rnacentral:lncRNA from 1 species
UAAAAAAUAAAUUAAAAAUAAAAGAAAAUAAAAAUAUUAGUAAAUGCAAAACUGAUUAAAAAAAUAUGAGAAAAAUGUAUGUGAUGUAAAAUAAAUUUAGAGACCUUGUGUGAAAAAUUGGGAUAAAAAAUGUUUAAAAAUGAGAGAGAAAUUAAUUUGGAAAUAAAAUAAAAUAGAAUUAGGGCGUCAACGACUACUAGAAUUUGAAAAAAAAAAGCAUGAAAGCUUUUGGUUGGUUGAGAUUUGAAAUUGGCACCAAAGCGUGCGCAAC